rnacentral:rRNA from 1 species
CAUAGGUUAAUGAGGCGAACCGGGGGAACUGAAACAUCUAAGUACCCCGAGGAAAAGAAAUCAACCGAGAUUCCCCCAGUAGCGGCGAGCGAACGGGGAGGAGCCCAGAGCCUGAAUCAGUGUGUGUGUUAGUGGAAGCGUCUGGAAAGGCGCGCGAUACAGGGUGACAGCCCCGUACACAAAAAUGCACAUAUUGUGAGCUCGAUGAGUAGGGCGGGACACGUGGUAUCCUGUCUGAAUAUGGGGGGACCAUCCUCCAAGGCUAAAUACUCCUGACUGACCGAUAGUGAACCAGUACCGUGAGGGAAAGGCGAAAAGAACCCCGGCGAGGGGAGUGAAAAAGAACCUGAAACCGUGUACGUACAAGCAGUGGGAGCCUCUUAAUGGGGUGACUGCGUACCUUUUGUAUAAUGGGUCAGCGACUUAUAUUCUGUAGCAAGGUUAACCGAAUAGGGGAGCCGAAGGGAAACCGAGUCUUAACUGGGCGUUAAGUUGCAGGGUAUAGACCCGAAACCCGGUGAUCUAGCCAUGGGCAGGUUGAAGGUUGGGUAACACUAACUGGAGGACCGAACCGACUAAUGUUGAAAAAUUAGCGGAUGACUUGUGGCUGGGGGUGAAAGGCCAAUCAAACCGGGAGAUAGCUGGUUCUCCCCGAAAGCUAUUUAGGUAGCGCCUCGUGAAUUCAUCUCCGGGGGUAGAGCACUGUUUCGGCAAGGGGGUCAUCCCGACUUACCAACCCGAUGCAAACUGCGAAUACCGGAGAAUGUUAUCACGGGAGACACACGGCGGGUGCUAACGUCCGUCGUGAAGAGGGAAACAACCCAGACCGCCAGCUAAGGUCCCAAAGUCAUGGUUAAGUGGGAAACGAUGUGGGAAGGCCCAGACAGCCAGGAUGUUGGCUUAGAAGCAGCCAUCAUUUAAAGAAAGCGUAAUAGCUCACUGGUCGAGUCGGCCUGCGCGGAAGAUGUAACGGGGCUAAACCAUGCACCGAAGCUGCGGCAGCGACGCUUAUGCGUUGUUGGGUAGGGGAGCGUUCUGUAAGCCUGUGAAGGUGGCCUGUGAGGGUUGCUGGAGGUAUCAGAAGUGCGAAUGCUGACAUAAGUAACGAUAAAGCGGGUGAAAAGCCCGCUCGCCGGAAGACCAAGGGUUCCUGUCCAACGUUAAUCGGGGCAGGGUGAGUCGACCCCUAAGGCGAGGCCGAAAGGCGUAGUCGAUGGGAAACAGGUUAAUAUUCCUGUACUUGGUGUUACUGCGAAGGGGGGACGGAGAAGGCUAUGUUGGCCGGGCGACGGUUGUCCCGGUUUAAGCGUGUAGGCUGGUUUUCCAGGCAAAUCCGGAAAAUCAAGGCUGAGGCGUGAUGACGAGGCACUACGGUGCUGAAGCGACAAAUGCCCUGCUUCCAGGAAAAGCCUCUAAGCAUCAGGUAACAUCAAAUCGUACCCCAAACCGACACAGGUGGUCAGGUAGAGAAUACCAAGGCGCUUGGGAGAACUCGGGUGAAGGAACUAGGCAAAAUGGUGCCGUAACUUCGGGAGAAGGCACGCUGAUAUGUAGGUGAAGCGACUUGCUCGUGGAGCUGAAAUCAGUCGAAGAUACCAGCUGGCUGCAACUGUUUAUUAAAAACACAGCACUGUGCAAACACGAAAGUGGACGUAUACGGUGUGACGCCUGCCCGGUGCCGGAAGGUUAAUUGAUGGGGUUAGCGGUAACGCGAAGCUCUUGAUCGAAGCCCCGGUAAACGGCGGCCGUAACUAUAACGGUCCUAAGGUAGCGAAAUUCCUUGUCGGGUAAGUUCCGACCUGCACGAAUGGCGUAAUGAUGGCCAGGCUGUCUCCACCCGAGACUCAGUGAAAUUGAACUCGCUGUGAAGAUGCAGUGUACCCGCGGCAAGACGGAAAGACCCCGUGAACCUUUACUAUAGCUUGACACUGAACAUUGAGCCUUGAUGUGUAGGAUAGGUGGGAGGCUUUGAAGUGUGGACGCCAGUCUGCAUGGAGCCGACCUUGAAAUACCACCCUUUAAUGUUUGAUGUUCUAACGUGGGCCCGUAAUCCGGGUUGCGGACAGUGUCUGGUGGGUAGUUUGACUGGGGCGGUCUCCUCCUAAAGAGUAACGGAGGAGCACGAAGGUUGGCUAAUCCUGGUCGGACAUCAGGAGGUUAGUGCAAUGGCAUAAGCCAGCUUGACUGCGAGCGUGACGGCGCGAGCAGGUGCGAAAGCAGGUCAUAGUGAUCCGGUGGUUCUGAAUGGAAGGGCCAUCGCUCAACGGAUAAAAGGUACUCCGGGGAUAACAGGCUGAUACCGCCCAAGAGUUCAUAUCGACGGCGGUGUUUGGCACCUCGAUGUCGGCUCAUCACAUCCUGGGGCUGAAGUAGGUCCCAAGGGUAUGGCUGUUCGCCAUUUAAAGUGGUACGCGAGCUGGGUUUAGAACGUCGUGAGACAGUUCGGUCCCUAUCUGCCGUGGGCGCUGGAGAACUGAGGGGGGCUGCUCCUAGUACGAGAGGACCGGAGUGGACGCAUCACUGGUGUUCGGGUUGUCAUGCCAAUGGCACUGCCCGGUAGCUAAAUGCGGAAGAGAUAAGUGCUGAAAGCAUCUAAGCACGAAACUUGCCCCGAGAUGAGUUCUCCCUGACCCUUUAAGGGUCCUGAAGGAACGUUGAAGACGACGACGUUGAUAGGCCGGGUGUGUAAGCGCAGCGAUGCGUUGAGCUAACCGGUACUAAUGAACCGUGAGGCUUAACCUU